CUGACAGUCCUGGAGACGGAGGGCUUCUAACCUGAGGUUAGGUACAUGCUUCUCCAUUCUGCCUCACCCCUGACCUGGAGGGACAGCUCCAAGGAGAACAGGGUUGUUCAGUCUCCAUAGCCCUUUCAUUUUGGUUUCU
ensembl:misc_RNA